GAUGAACGCUGACGGCGUGCCUAAUACAUGCAAGUCGAGCGAACGGACGAGAAGCUUGCUUCUCUGAUGUUAGCGGCGGACGGGUGAGUAACACGUGGAUAACCUACCUAUAAGACUGGGAUAACUUCGGGAAACCGGAGCUAAUACCGGAUAAUAUUUUGAACCGCAUGGUUCAAAAGUGAAAGACGGUCUUGCUGUCACUUAUAGAUGGAUCCGCGCUGCAUUAGCUAGUUGGUAAGGUAACGGCUUACCAAGGCAACGAUGCAUAGCCGACCUGAGAGGGUGGUCGGCCACCCUGGAACUGGAACACCGUCCCAGCUCCUACGGGAAGGCACAGUAGGGGAACUUUCGGAAUUGGGGGAAACCUUACGGAACAACGGCGCGUUGGGUGUUGAAGUCCUUGGGACGGAAAACUCUGUUAUUAGGGAAGAACAUAUGUGUAAGUAACUGUGCACAUCUUGACGGUACCUAAUCAGAAAGCCACGGCUAACUACGUG
rnacentral:rRNA from 1 species